UACGGAGGGGGCUAGCGUUGUUCGGAAUUACUGGGCGUAAAGCGUGCGCAGGCGGUUUUGUAAGUUUGUCGUGAAAGCCCCGGGCUCAACCUGGGAAUUGCGAUGAAGACUGCAAGGCUUGAAUCUGGCAGAGGGGGUAGAAUUCCACGUGUAGCAGUGAAAUGCGUAGAGAUGUGGAGGAACACCGAUGGCGAAGGCAGCCCCCUGGGUCAAGAUUGACGCUCAUGCACGAAAGCGUGGGGAGCAAACAGG
rnacentral:rRNA from 1 species